rnacentral:rRNA from 1 species
GUCGAACGCUGGCGGCGUGCUUAACACAUGCAAGUCGAACGGAGUGGAGAACGGGUGAGUAACACAUGGGUGACCUGCUCUGCACUUCGGGCUAAGCCUGGGUAGAUGGGUCUAAUACCGGAGAGUGUGGGAUGGGCCCGCGGCCUAUGAGCUUGUUGGUGGGGUGAUGGCCUACCAAGGCGGGGGCGGGUAGCCGGCCUGAGAGGGUGGACGGGCACAUUGGGACUGAGGCACGGCCCAUACUCCUACGGGGGGCAGCAGUGGGGAAUAUUGCACAGUGGGCGGAAGCCUGAUGCAGCGACGCCGGGUGGGGGAUGACGGCCUUCGGGUUGUAAACUCCUUUCACCAUCGACGCGGUAGAUGGAGAAGAAGCACCGGCUAACUCCGUGCCAGCAGCCGCGGUAAUAC